UACGUAGGGGGCAAGCGUUGUCCGGAAUUAUUUGGCGUCAAGAGCGUGUAGGCGGCCAGAUAAGUCCGCUGUGAAAUCUCGAGGCUCAACUUCGAGCUGUCGGUGGAAACUGUCUGGCUAGAGUCCGGAAGAGGAGAAUGGAAUUCCUGGUGUAGCGGUGAAAUGCGCAGAUAUCAGGAAGAACACCCGUGGCGAAGGCGGUUCUCUGGGACGGUACUGACGCUGAGACGCGAAAGCGUGGGGAGCGAACAGG
rnacentral:rRNA from 1 species